UUAAGCGACUAAGCGUACACGGUGGAUGCCCUGGCAGUCAGAGGCGAUGAAGGACGUGCUAAUCUGCGAUAAGCGUCGGUAAGGUGAUAUGAACCGUUAUAACCGGCGAUUUCCGAAUGGGGAAACCCAGUGUGAUUCGUCACACUAUCAUUAACUGAAUCCAUAGGUUAAUGAGGCGAACCGGGGGAACUGAAACAUCUAAGUACCCCGAGGAAAAGAAAUCAACCGAGAUUCCCCCAGUAGCGGCGAGCGAACGGGGAGCAGCCCAGAGCCUGAAUCAGUGUGUGUGUUAGUGGAAGCGUCUGGAAAGGCGCGCGAUACAGGGUGACAGCCCCGUACACAAAAAUGCACAUACUGUGAGCUCGAUGAGUAGGGCGGGACACGUGGUAUCCUGUCUGAAUAUGGGGGGACCAUCCUCCAAGGCUAAAUACUCCUGACUGACCGAUAGUGAACCAGUACCGUGAGGGAAAGGCGAAAAGAACCCCGGCGAGGGGAGUGAAAAAGAACCUGAAACCGUGUACGUACAAGCAGUGGGAGCCUCUUUUAUCAGGGUGACUGCGUACCUUUUGUAUAAUGGGUCAGCGACUUAUAUUCUGUAGCAAGGUUAACCGAAUAGGGGAGCCGAAGGGAAACCGAGUCUUAACUGGGCGUUAAGUUGCAGGGUAUAGACCCGAAACCCGGUGAUCUAGCCAUGGGCAGGUUGAAGGUUGGGUAACACUAACUGGAGGACCGAACCGACUAAUGUUGAAAAAUUAGCGGAUGACUUGUGGCUGGGGGUGAAAGGCCAAUCAAACCGGGAGAUAGCUGGUUCUCCCCGAAAGCUAUUUAGGUAGCGCCUCGUGAAUUCAUCUCCGGGGGUAGAGCACUGUUUCGGCAAGGGGGUCAUCCCGACUUACCAACCCGAUGCAAACUGCGAAUACCGGAGAAUGUUAUCACGGGAGACACACGGCGGGUGCUAACGUCCGUCGUGAAGAGGGAAACAACCCAGACCGCCAGCUAAGGUCCCAAAGUCAUGGUUAAGUGGGAAACGAUGUGGGAAGGCCCAGACAGCCAGGAUGUUGGCUUAGAAGCAGCCAUCAUUUAAAGAAAGCGUAAUAGCUCACUGGUCGAGUCGGCCUGCGCGGAAGAUGUAACGGGGCUAAACCAUGCACCGAAGCUGCGGCAGCGACACUGUGUGUUGUUGGGUAGGGGAGCGUUCUGUAAGCCUGUGAAGGUGUGCUGUGAGGCAUGCUGGAGGUAUCAGAAGUGCGAAUGCUGACAUAAGUAACGAUAAAGCGGGUGAAAAGCCCGCUCGCCGGAAGACCAAGGGUUCCUGUCCAACGUUAAUCGGGGCAGGGUGAGUCGACCCCUAAGGCGAGGCCGAAAGGCGUAGUCGAUGGGAAACAGGUUAAUAUUCCUGUACUUGGUGUUACUGCGAAGGGGGGACGGAGAAGGCUAUGUUGGCCGGGCGACGGUUGUCCCGGUUUAAGCGUGUAGGCUGGUUUUCCAGGCAAAUCCGGAAAAUCAAGGCUGAGGCGUGAUGACGAGGCACUACGGUGCUGAAGCAACAAAUGCCCUGCUUCCAGGAAAAGCCUCUAAGCAUCAGGUAACAUCAAAUCGUACCCCAAACCGACACAGGUGGUCAGGUAGAGAAUACCAAGGCGCUUGAGAGAACUCGGGUGAAGGAACUAGGCAAAAUGGUGCCGUAACUUCGGGAGAAGGCACGCUGAUAUGUAGGUGAAGCGACUUGCUCGUGGAGCUGAAAUCAGUCGAAGAUACCAGCUGGCUGCAACUGUUUAUUAAAAACACAGCACUGUGCAAACACGAAAGUGGACGUAUACGGUGUGACGCCUGCCCGGUGCCGGAAGGUUAAUUGAUGGGGUCAGCCGCAAGGCGAAGCUCUUGAUCGAAGCCCCGGUAAACGGCGGCCGUAACUAUAACGGUCCUAAGGUAGCGAAAUUCCUUGUCGGGUAAGUUCCGACCUGCACGAAUGGCGUAAUGAUGGCCAGGCUGUCUCCACCCGAGACUCAGUGAAAUUGAACUCGCUGUGAAGAUGCAGUGUACCCGCGGCAAGACGGAAAGACCCCGUGAACCUUUACUAUAGCUUGACACUGAACAUUGAGCCUUGAUGUGUAGGAUAGGUGGGAGGCUUUGAAGCGUGGACGCCAGUCUGCGUGGAGCCGACCUUGAAAUACCACCCUUUAAUGUUUGAUGUUCUAACGUAGACCCUAUCGGGUUGCGGACAGUGUCUGGUGGGUAGUUUGACUGGGGCGGUCUCCUCCUAAAGAGUAACGGAGGAGCACGAAGGUUGGCUAAUCCUGGUCGGACAUCAGGAGGUUAGUGCAAUGGCAUAAGCCAGCUUGACUGCGAGCGUGACGGCGCGAGCAGGUGCGAAAGCAGGUCAUAGUGAUCCGGUGGUUCUGAAUGGAAGGGCCAUCGCUCAACGGAUAAAAGGUACUCCGGGGAUAACAGGCUGAUACCGCCCAAGAGUUCAUAUCGACGGCGGUGUUUGGCACCUCGAUGUCGGCUCAUCACAUCCUGGGGCUGAAGUAGGUCCCAAGGGUAUGGCUGUUCGCCAUUUAAAGUGGUACGCGAGCUGGGUUUAGAACGUCGUGAGACAGUUCGGUCCCUAUCUGCCGUGGGCGCUGGAGAACUGAGGGGGGCUGCUCCUAGUACGAGAGGACCGGAGUGGACGCAUCACUGGUGUUCGGGUUGUCAUGCCAAUGGCACUGCCCGGUAGCUAAAUGCGGAAGAGAUAAGUGCUGAAAGCAUCUAAGCACGAAACUUGCCCCGAGAUGAGUUCUCCCUGACUCCUUGAGAGUCCUGAAGGAACGUUGAAGACGACGACGUUGAUAGGCCGGGUGUGUAAGCGCAGCGAUGCGUUGAGCUAACCGGUACUAAUGAACCGUGAGGCUUAACCUU
rnacentral:rRNA from 1 species